ACGGAGGGUGCAAGCGUUGUCCGGAAUCAUUGGGCGUAAAGCGUUCGUAGGCGGCAUACCAAGUCUGGGGUUAAAUCCCGGGGCUCAACUCCGGUCCGGCACUGGAUACUGGUAAGCUAGAAUGCGGUAGAGGUAAAGGGAAUUCCUGGUGUAGCGGUGAAAUGCGUAGAUAUGAGGAAGAACACCGAUGGCGUAGGCGCUUUACUGGGUUAUAAUUGACGCUGAGGAACGAAAGCGGGGGGAGCAAAUGG
rnacentral:rRNA from 1 species